rnacentral:rRNA from 1 species
UACGUAGGGUGCAAGCGUUUAAUCGGAAUUACUGGGCGUAAAGCGUGCGCAGGCGGUUUUUGUAAGUUUGUCGUGAAAUCCCCGGGCUCAACCUGGGAAUGGCGAUGAAGACUGCAAGGCUAGAAUCUGGCAGAGGGGGGUAGAAUUCCACGUGUAGCAGUGAAAUGCGUAGAGAUGUGGAGGAACACCGAUGGCGAAGGCAGCCCCCUGGGUCAAGAUUGACGC